UUAAAUUGAAGAGUUUGAUCAUGGCUCAGAUUGAACGCUGGCGGCAGGCCUAACACAUGCAAGUCGAACGGUAACAGGAAACAGCUUGCUGUUUCGCUGACGAGUGGCGGACGGGUGAGUAAUGUCUGGGAAACUGCCUGAUGGAGGGGGAUAACUACUGGAAACGGUAGCUAAUACCGCAUAACGUCGCAAGACCAAAGAGGGGGACCUUCGGGCCUCUUGCCAUCGGAUGUGCCCAGAUGGGAUUAGCUAGUAGGUGGGGUAAAGGCUCACCUAGGCGACGAUCCCUAGCUGGUCUGAGAGGAUGACCAGCCACACUGGAACUGAGACACGGUCCAGACUCCUACGGGAGGCAGCAGUGGGGAAUAUUGCACAAUGGGCGCAAGCCUGAUGCAGCCAUGCCGCGUGUAUGAAGAAGGCCUUCGGGUUGUAAAGUACUUUCAGCGGGGAGGAAGGGAGUAAAGUUAAUACCUUUGCUCAUUGACGUUACCCGCAGAAGAAGCACCGGCUAACUCCGUGCCAGCAGCCGCGGUAAUACGGAGGGUGCAAGCGUUAAUCGGAAUUACUGGGCGUAAAGCGCACGCAGGCGGUUUGUUAAGUCAGAUGUGAAAUCCCCGGGCUCAACCUGGGAACUGCAUCUGAUACUGGCAAGCUUGAGUCUCGUAGAGGGGGGUAGAAUUCCAGGUGUAGCGGUGAAAUGCGUAGAGAUCUGGAGGAAUACCGGUGGCGAAGGCGGCCCCCUGGACGAAGACUGACGCUCAGGUGCGAAAGCGUGGGGAGCAAACAGGAUUAGAUACCCUGGUAGUCCACGCCGUAAACGAUGUCGACUUGGAGGUUGUGCCCUUGAGGCGUGGCUUCCGGAGCUAACGCGUUAAGUCGACCGCCUGGGGAGUACGGCCGCAAGGUUAAAACUCAAAUGAAUUGACGGGGGCCCGCACAAGCGGUGGAGCAUGUGGUUUAAUUCGAUGCAACGCGAAGAACCUUACCUGGUCUUGACAUCCACGGAAGUUUUCAGAGAUGAGAAUGUGCCUUCGGGAACCGUGAGACAGGUGCUGCAUGGCUGUCGUCAGCUCGUGUUGUGAAAUGUUGGGUUAAGUCCCGCAACGAGCGCAACCCUUAUCCUUUGUUGCCAGCGGUCCGGCCGGGAACUCAAAGGAGACUGCCAGUGAUAAACUGGAGGAAGGUGGGGAUGACGUCAAGUCAUCAUGGCCCUUACGACCAGGGCUACACACGUGCUACAAUGGCGCAUACAAAGAGAAGCGACCUCGCGAGAGCAAGCGGACCUCAUAAAGUGCGUCGUAGUCCGGAUUGGAGUCUGCAACUCGACUCCAUGAAGUCGGAAUCGCUAGUAAUCGUGGAUCAGAAUGCCACGGUGAAUACGUUCCCGGGCCUUGUACACACCGCCCGUCACACCAUGGGAGUGGGUUGCAAAAGAAGUAGGUAGCUUAACCUUCGGGAGGGCGCUUACCACUUUGUGAUUCAUGACUGGGGUGAAGUCGUAACAAGGUAACCGUAGGGGAACCUGCGGUUGGAUCACCUCCUUACCUUAAAGAAGC
rnacentral:rRNA from 2 species